rnacentral:rRNA from 1 species
UACGAAGGGGGCUAGCGUUGCUCGGAAUCACUGGGCGUAAAGCGCACGUAGGCGGCUUCUUAAGUCAGGGGUGAAAUCCUGGAGCUCAACUCCAGAACUGCCUUCGAUACUGGCGAUCUUGAGUCCGGGAGAGGUGAGUGGAACUCCGAGUGUAGAGGUGAAAUUCGUAGAUAUUCGGAAGAACACCAGUGGCGAAGGCGGCUCACUGGCCCGGUACUGACGCUGAGGUGCGAAAGCGUGGGGAGCAAACAGG